GUCUACAGCCAUGCUACCCUGAACAAGCCUGAUCCUGUCUGAUCUCGGAAGUUAAGCAGGGUCUAGUCCUGUUUAGUACUUGGAUGGGAGACCACCUAGGAAGACCAGGUGCUGUAGGUG
rnacentral:rRNA from 1 species